rnacentral:rRNA from 1 species
AUUGAACGCUGGCGGCAGGCCUAACACAUGCAAGUCGAGCGAGCGGCGGACGGGUGAGUAAUGUCUGGGAAACUGCCUGAUGGAGGGGGAUAACUACUGGAAACGGUAGCUAAUACCGCAUACCAUCAGAUGUUCCCAGAUGGGAUUCGCUGGUAGGUGGGGUAACGGCUCACCUAGGCGACGAUCCCUAGCUGGUCUGAGAGGAUGACCAGCGACACGUGACAUGACACACGGUCCAGACUCAUACGGGUGGAAGCAGUGGGGAAUAUUGCACAAUGGGAGAAAGCCUGAGGCAGCCAUGGCGCGUGUGUGAAGAAGGCCUUCGGGUUGUAAAGCACUUGAAGCGGGGAGGCGUUACCCGCAGAAGAAGCACCGGCUAACUCCGUGCCAGCAGCCGCGGUAAUUC